rnacentral:rRNA from 1 species
UACGUAGGGUGCAAGCGUUAAUCGGAAUUACUGGGCGAAAGCGUGCGCAGGCGGUGAUGUAAGACAGAUGUGAAAUCCCCGGGCUCAACCUGGGAACUGCAUUGUGACUGCAUCGCUGGAGUGCGGCAGAGGGGGAUGGAAUUCCGCGUGUAGCAGUGAAAUGCGUAGAUAUGCGGAGGAACACCGAUGGCGAAGGCAAUCCCCCUGGGCCUGCACUGACGCUCAUGCACGAAAGCGUGGGGAGCAAACAGG